AACGGCCGUACCAUGCUGAAUAUACCGGUUCUCGUUAGAUCACCGAAGUCAAGCAUCAUUGGGCGCGGUCAGUACUUGGGUGAGUGACCACCUGGGAACACCGCGUGCCGUU
rnacentral:rRNA from 1 species